rnacentral:rRNA from 1 species
UGGGGAAUAUUGCACAAUGGGCGCAAGCCUGAUGCAGCCAUGCCGCGUGUAUGAAGAAGGCCUUCGGGUUGUAAAGUACUUUCAGCGGGGAGGAAGGGAGUAAAGUUAAUACCUUUGCUCAUUGACGUUACCCGCAGAAGAAGCACCGGCUAACUCCGUGCCAGCAGCCGCGGUAAUACGGAGGGUGCAAGCGUUAAUCGGAAUUACUGGGCGUAAAGCGCACGCAGGCGGUUUGUUAAGUCAGAUGUGAAAUCCCCGGGCUCAACCUGGGAACUGCAUCUGAUAAUGGGAAGCUUGAGGCUCGUAGAGGGGGGUAGAAUUCCAGGUGUAGCGGUGAAAUGCGUAGAGAUCUGGAGGAAUACCGGUGGCGAAGGCGGCCCCCUGGACGAAGACUGACGCUCAGGUGCGAAAGCGUGGGGAGCAAACAGG